GAACUGCUCUUGAAUAGCUCCCCAUGGAAGAGGGAUUCCUUAUACUGCUGCAAGUAACAUGACUUCACAGGCACACAGCUUGGAUAGGAGUGAGGACCGCUGCUUCCUUCUUGAGGUGCUCGGACCUGGGAGCUAGCAUGGACUGCAGCACCAGCUCUCUUCUACAGAACUUGUGUUGGAGCAAAAGACUCUAUUCUAGAUCCAUUCCAGAGUUGCUGUGAGAAAAUUCUCCCCU
rnacentral:lncRNA from 1 species